rnacentral:rRNA from 1 species
AAUACCGCGGCCCUUUAAAAUUUUUCAGUGGGCAGAUUAGACUUUAAAUUAUAUUCAAAAAGACAUGUUUUUGUUAAACAGGCGAGUAUUUAUUUGCCGAAUUCCUUAAUUAAACCUUUCAAUUAUUUUAUUUUAAACAAUUUAAUAUACUAAUUUUAUCAUUAUUUUAAUUUUUAUAUAAUUAUAAAAAUUAUUUUAAUAUAAACUUAAAUCAAUAAAAAUUAUUUUUAAUUUAAAAUAAAUUAUAACAUUUUUAUAAUUAAUGACUAUUUCUAAGCCUAUAAUUUUUAAACUAAAAAAAAAUAUUAUAAAAUUUAUUUUAAAGCUUAUCCCCUAAAAUAUUUAUUAUUAAUAAUAACUUAUUAUUUAAAUAAAUAAUUAUUUAUUAAUAAUCUAAAUUUAAUUUAUUUCUUAAAAAACUAGAUAUAUUUAAGAACGAAUAACAUUUCAUUUCUAAUUAAUUAUUUUAAAUUUUUAUGAAACAAAAAAUUAAAUAAUAAAUUAACUCUCUUAAAUUCGAGAAAAAUUAAAUUAUUAAUUUUUAAUUAAUAAACCCUGAUACACAAGGUACAAUAUAUUAAAUUUACUUUUAACUUAAAAUUUUUUCAAAUAUUUCAAUAUUCUUUUACAAUACUAAUUAACUAUCAUACAAAUUAUUUGAUCUAUAUACUAUACAAAAAAAAAUUAAAAUUAAAAUUAAUUUUAUUAAAUAAAUUAAUAAACAAAAAAAAAUUAUAAAUUUUUGAUUAUCAAAUUAAAUUGAAUUACACAAUAUACUUUUCAAUGUAAAUGAAAUGCUUUACUUUUCAAGCUCUAAUUUGUCUUUCUAGAUACACCUUC